UGGGGAAUAUUGCACAAUGGGCGCAAGCCUGAUGCAGCCAUGCCGCGUGUAUGAAGAAGGCCUUCGGGUUGUAAAGUACUUUCAGCGGGGAGGAAGGGAGUAAAGUUAAUACCUUUGCUCAUUGACGUUACCCGCAGAAGAAGCACCGGCUAACUCCGUGCCAGCAGCCGCGGUAAUACGGAGGGUGCAAGCGUUAAUCGGAAUUACUGGGCGUAAAGCGCACGCAGGCGGUUUGUUAAGUCAGAUGUGAAAUCCCCGGGCUCAACCUGGGAACUGCAUCUGAUACUGGAAAGCUUGAGUCUCGUAGAGGGGGGUAGAAUUCCAGGUGUAGCGGUGAAAUGCGUAGAGAUCUGGAGGAAUACCGGUGGCGAAGGCGGCCCCCUGGACGAAGACUGACGCUCAGGUGCGAAAGCGUGGGGAGCAAACAGG
rnacentral:rRNA from 2 species